rnacentral:rRNA from 1 species
GAUGAACGCUAGCGGGAGGCCUAACACAUGCAAGCCGAGCGGUAGAGUUUCUUCGGAAACUUGAGAGCGGCGCACGGGUGCGUAACACGUGUGCAACCUACCUUUAUCUGGGGGAUAGCCUUUCGAAAGGAAGAUUAAUACCCCAUAAUAUAAUGAUUGGCAUCAAUUAUUAUUGAAAACUCCGGUGGAUAGAGAUGGGCACGCGCAAGAUUAGAUAGUUGGUGAGGUAACGGCUCACCAAGUCAAUGAUCUUUAGGGGUCCUGAGAGGGAGAUCCCCCACACUGGUACUGAGACACGGACCAGACUCCUACGGGAGGCAGCAGUGAGGAAUAUUGGACAAUGGGUGAGAGCCUGAUCCAGCCAUCCCGCGUGAAGGAUGACGGUCCUAUGGAUUGUAAACUUCUUUUGUACAGGGAUAAACCUACCCUCGUGAGGGUAGCUGAAGGUACUGUACGAAUAAGCACCGGCUAACUCUGUG